rnacentral:rRNA from 1 species
AUUGAACGCUGGCGGCAGGCCUAACACAUGCAAGUCGAACGAGUGGCGGACGGGUGAGUAAUGUCUGGGAAACUGCCUGAUGGAGGGGGAUAACUACUGGAAACGGUAGCUAAUACCGCAUACCAUCGGAUGUGCCCAGAUGGGAUGUGCUAGUAGGUGGGGUAACGGCUGACCUCGGCGACGAUCCCGAGCUGGUCUGAGAGGAUGACCAGCCACACGGGAACUGAGACACGGUCCAGACUCCUACGGGAGGCAGCAGGGGGGAAUAUUGCACAAUGGGCGCAAGCCUGAUGCAGCCAUGCCGCGUGUAUGAAGAAGGCCUUCGGGUUGUAAAGUACUUUCAGCGGGGAGGCGUUACCCGCAGAAGAAGCACCGGCUAACUCCGUGCCAGCCGCCGCGGUAAUUG